rnacentral:lncRNA from 1 species
GACGCGUUCUCCGGCAAGAGUGGUUUCAGCUGUUUUUUUGGACGUGCUAGUAGUUAACUCAUGGGAUAGAAAUACUACCGGGAGUGGUGAGAAACAAGACCUAGAAAGCUCAGAGAAAAGCAGAUGGAGAGUGGAGCUCUUGUCUGUCUUCUCGGCUCCUAACGGCAGCCCCAGAUUCGCAAUGAAGAGCCCCACGCCACAUGAAAUGUGAGCAAGUCCACCCACCUCAUCUACCCUGGCGGCCAGUUCCUCGUUGGACCAGAUCCCUUCUAUCAUAAGCUCCUCCUCAGCACAUGGUUAUUACUGGAAUGCUGGUGGUUUGGGCAACUCUUUUUCUGGUGAGAUGGUGCAGUGGGAAGGGACAUUGACUAUUUGAAGAGCAAACAACCAAGAUAAAAUCUUAAAAGCAGGCAGAGAGAAAAGAUACAGAAGACUCACACUGACUUCUCAAGUGAAACAAUGGAAGCCAAAAGACAAUAAAGUAAUAUCUUCAAAGCCCUGAAAGAGAAUAACUACGAGUGGAAGUCUAUGCAAGCACAGAUAUCCUUCCAAAAUAAAGAGGAAAUAAAUACACUUUUAGAAAAACAACGCUUGAGAAAUCUCAUCACCAGCUGACCUGCACAAAAGGAAAUCCUAAAGGGUGUUCUUCAGGCAGAAGGAAAAUAAACUCAAAUGUAAUCUGGGAGAUGCAGGAAGGAAUGAAGGUACAUCCCACUUCCAGCGGGCUGUCCCUCGGUGCUGGCUUGGCUUCUUGGGAAAAGAGUGAAGAAUCAGAGCCUACACGCUGCUGCUGAGCUCCACAGCCUCCAUCUUGCCUCCUCCUGUUUAGACGAUGCGGGUCCUAGUUCUGGGAAGCCCUUCCACCGGAGCCUCUCUGAACUUCAGGCUCCUCAUCUAUAAAAUGGACCUCCCAAGGUGGUGGUUUAGUGCUGUCAGGGACAUGUUGGCAGGAGGACCGUGUGAGCUGUUGUGUCCACAGUAGCCUGGAAAGGGUGAGGGCAAAGGGCUGGGGGACCGGUCAGAAGGCACCUACCACAAUCCAGGUAGGAGGUGACAGUGCUGCAGCCAGGCUGCACGGCGAAGGAUGGGAGGGGCCCCCGGAGAAACCUGAAUCAGGUACCACAGUAACGGGGAACGUGGAGGAGGGCAUGAUUCACUCCAAGGCCGCUUUCCCAGGGGAUGUGACUCAGGCAGGAUUUUGAAAAAUGAGCAGUUCAGCAGGCACUCAAGAGGGUGAGAACAUUCCAACACCGGUGUGCCGGGGCCCCAUUGAGAGGGAGCCAGGCCUAUUUGGGGACCUAUGAAGCAGCAUCACAUCAGAGCAGAAGGGUCAGGGGAGGCCAGAUGGGGAAGGAGCUCGCCGCUCUGCCAAGGGUGUUGUCCUCUGGGCGCCAGGGAGUUCAGGAAGAAUUUUAAGCCUGGGGGCCGGUGGUGCUUAAGACCUAAAACUUGCUAUUAAGAAAAGUCCCGUGGUCACCAUGAACGGCCUGGGGGGAGGUGGCAGGGAAAACCCAGAGGGGAAGCAGAAAAUGAGGGCUGACCCUGGGGCAGUGGGAGAGAGGGAAGGAGGCAUGAGAACCGUUUAGGGAGAAGAGAGGACCAGGUCCGUGUGGGUUUGGGGAAAGAGGAGCAGGCUGUUUUGAGGAAGAGAAUGAGUCAUGUGGGGGCCGGCUGAAUUGGAGGAUCCGCUGGGGGAUCAGACAGCCAAGCCCCAGAGCAGCCGAUGUUGGAGUCUGGAGCUCAGCGGAGGGGACUUGGGUCCAGAAGCCUCAAGGGACAGGUGGCAUUUAAGCUGUGGAAGGCCACCAGCUAAAAGGCAUCUCCAGAUUUUUACCUUUAGUAAGAUCUGAAUAGAGGUAUAUUUCCCUCCUCUUUGCCUCUUUCCCAAGGCCUUUGAGAGAUACAGUGAGAAUAACAUUCUUGAGGGUAAAGAGGAGGGAUCCAGGAGGGGAUCCUCCUAGGGCAGCACGGAGGAAUCCCUGGGCUGGUCCCACUUCACCCCACGGUGUCUGCGGGCAGAGGGGCCUGGAUAGGCAGGGCUCUUGGUAUCCAUUGUCCGUGGGUCUCUGCAUGCAGAUAUGUAAAGUUAUGUGUUUUCAUCUCCCCGUGAUUCCUGUUUUCCUGCAGCCCUUCCCGCUGAGGCGUAUGGCCCAAUAAAGUAGAGGGGUGAAUUCAAAGCAAGACCUCAAGCAGGGGGUGAAGCGGACAUGAUGUAGAGAAGCUGCUGCUGAUGGCAAUGGGACCAGAAAAGGGGGGCCUAAGGAAGAGAGAACAUGAGAAGCAAAAAGGGCAGCCCCUUAACCUUCAACCUCAGAGGCUCGUGUGGGAGAAACCCAGUCAGGUCUGAGGGGAGAUCUCACAGCAAGGGGGUGGGUGGGACUUGACUCAGAUUGCAGUGGGGAGAAAUUUUAAUGACACCCCCUCCCUAGCAAACCAGCGAUGCAAGAUGGUGCCAGCACAAUAUGGUGCCAGUCAGGAGGUGGUUUGGAAUGGCUGAGGAAGGGAGUCUGGGAAGUGGCUUCAUGCAACGCUGCUCGUUCUAGUGAGAAUGCAGCCAGGUAGUCCUAGGUCCCAGGGGCUGCAGAGCCAAGAUCUGCCUCACCAGCUAUGUGCAGGGACCACGCACUUUGGCUUCACCUCUUCCUGCCCCUACCCCACCAGCAAGCCCCAGGGACCAGAACCAUCUCUGUCCUGCGUGUGUGUGUGUGUGUGUGUGUGUGUAAGAAUGCAGGGGACUCCACUCAGACCUUCAACCCUCUUGUCCCACCACCAUGAGGCCCAUGAACAUCUCUCUGCACCAGGAAAUUAUCUUGGCUGGGAGAAGGCGGAAGGGUGAGAAAACCUUGGAAUACUGAGCAAUUUUACUCAAAAGAGACUGAGUUAAUCAUACAGAAAUGGAGCUAUGUCUAAGGGGCAAUUUAAUGCUUUCUUUUUGUUUGUUUUCUUUUUGCCCGUCAGUAGUAGGAAUUAUCAGAUCACGAUGAGAAAAGUAUAAGAAAAAGUAAGAACAAUACUGAUUUGACCCAUCUGGGUAGGUGUGUGUGUGUGAUCUUUAGCCCUCCCACAAUUAUGUCUGUACACGUUUGCUGGGGCAACUGUAUAUUUUCAAUUCCAAUCGUCAGACCUUUCCUUGAAGCUCACGUGUGUUUUGAUCUGGCCAGGAAUUGAGAAUCAUAAAAUCAUUAAAUCUGUAUUAAUUACCUAUUGCUGCAUAGUAAGUUAAUCCAAAAUUUAGCUGAAAUAAAUAUGUAUUAUCU